rnacentral:rRNA from 1 species
GAAUUCGCCCUUAGAGUUUGAUCUGGCUCAGGACGAACGCUGGCGGCGCGCCUAACACAUGCAAGUCGAACGAGCGAGAGAGAGCUUGCUUUCUCGAGCGAGUGGCGAACGGGUGAGUAACGCGUGAGGAACCUGCCUCAAAGAGGGGGACAACAGUUGGAAACGACUGCUAAUACCGCAUAAGCCCACGGCUCGGCAUCGAGCAGAGGGAAAAGGAGCAAUCCGCUUUGAGAUGGCCUCGCGUCCGAUUAGCUAGUUGGUGAGGUAAUGGCCCACCAAGGCGACGAUCGGUAGCCGGACUGAGAGGUUGAACGGCCACAUUGGGACUGAGACACGGCCCAGACUCCUACGGGAGGCAGCAGUGGGGAAUAUUGCACAAUGGGGGAAACCCUGAUGCAGCGACGCCGCGUGGAGGAAGAAGGUCUUCGGAUUGUAAACUCCUGUUGUUGGGGAAGAUAAUGACGGUACCCAACAAGGAAGUGACGGCUAACUACGUGCCAGCAGCCGCGGUAAAACGUAGGUCACAAGCGUUGUCCGGAAUUACUGGGUGUAAAGGGAGCGCAGGCGGGAAGACAAGUUGGAAGUGAAAUCUAUGGGCUCAACCCAUAAACUGCUUUCAAAACUGUUUUUCUUGAGUAGUGCAGAGGUAGGCGGAAUUCCCGGUGUAGCGGUGGAAUGCGUAGAUAUCGGGAGGAACACCAGUGGCGAAGGCGGCCUACUGGGCACCAACUGACGCUGAGGCUCGAAAGUGUGGGUAGCAAACAGGAUUAGAUACCCUGGUAGUCCACACCGUAAACGAUGAUUACUAGGUGUUGGAGGAUUGACCCCUUCAGUGCCGCAGUUAACACAAUAAGUAAUCCACCUGGGGAGUACGACCGCAAGGUUGAAACUCAAAGGAAUUGACGGGGGCCCGCACAAGCAGUGGAGUAUGUGGUUUAAUUCGACGCAACGCGAAGAACCUUACCAAGUCUUGACAUCCCUUGACAGGCAUAGAAAUAUGUUUUCUCUUCGGAGCAAGGAGACAGGUGGUGCAUGGUUGUCGUCAGCUCGUGUCGUGAGAUGUUGGGUUAAGUCCCGCAACGAGCGCAACCCUUAUGGUCAGUUACUACGCAAGAGGACUCUGGCCAGACUGCCGUUGACAAAACGGAGGAAGGUGGGGAUGACGUCAAAUCAUCAUGCCCUUUAUGACUUGGGCUACACACGUACUACAAUGGCGUUAAACAAAGAGAAGCAAGACCGCGAGGUGGAGCAAAACUCAGAAACAACGUCCCAGUUCGGACUGCAGGCUGCAACUCGCCUGCACGAAGUCGGAAUUGCUAGUAAUCGUGGAUCAGCAUGCCACGGUGAAUACGUUCCCGGGCCUUGCACACACAACCCGUCA